GCAUAGCACCUUGCAGACAUCUGUGGAAUCAGUUACAUCAGAACCAGCCCAAAGGCAACACACGCAAACAUCUUUGUUUGCUCACUCUUCUUGCCUCAGAACAUCCAGUAGAAAUAAGCAAAUGGCAUACAUACGAGGAAGAGAGAAAGAAAGCACAUGCGGAAGAGUAAAGCACAGGAGAUUAUCUGACAAGGGAACCUACAGCUUAAUACAACUCUCUUGCCAGUACAACUAUGCUAAGAAGAUUUGAUUAAGACGGGGGAGGGAAAAAAUCUCUCUCUCUCUCUGAAAAGACCUUUUACGAACAAAGACCCCGGUGUAGUCAAAACUGCAGCAGCAAAUCUUCUGACUACGGCAAGUUUAAAUCAGUCUCCUGAAUGAAACAAGUGCAACCAGUGAACUUCCUUGCCAAUGUAGGUCCCUUAUGGAAACAGAAAGGGGCACCCCGAGUUCCACUUCCUGGAGAAGGAAGAACCACCACUUCCCUUUUCCUUGGCCGGCACCGUGAACCCCCAGUAAUACCAGAAAUGGUCAAGCUUCAUUCUCACCCGAAUUCAACUGAAAGCAGAUUAAGGCUACAGAAGACUCCUCUUAACAAGUCAGUCUUUUUUUCUUUUUUUUUCUUUUCUUUUCUUUUUUUUUUUUUUAAAAAAAAACCUACUAUGAGUGUAUUGACACAAGUUAUCUCUGUUUUUCCCACAGAACAUAAAAAUUCCUGUCCUUCCUACAAGAACAACUAUAUGCAACUUCUAAGCACUAAAAAUUAAUUAGAAAAAGCAGGGCUUAGAAUGGGAUUAUACUGUAACAUUUACUGAAUUCACAUCUUGCUCAAAGAGCCAUGCCCUUCCUAAGGCAAAAUACUCUCUCUGUUUACAGUAUUGCUACAGCCAGUCUCAGUUCCUUUCUAAAAUACUUAAGCCUGUGUCUAUGGAGCUGAUCACCAGUGCAGUCAUUUCCUUCAGCAUAGUUUGGAGAGCAGCAGGAAACAUGGCUCUCAACAAAUGCAGAAAUACCUUACAUGCACAAACGAGACAGAAUCUACUAGCCACUACGAGUCUAUUUUAGAAGUCUGGCUAAAAAAGUUCUAUUUUAACUUAACUAUGGUGAAUGCCUCCCAAGAUUAAGGGCAUUCCAAUCAAUAAUUCAAAGUUAAGUAUUUUUCUACAAUAUAAAACCAGGACAAACUCUUCUUCUGGCCAUGCCUUUUUUUUUUUUUUUUGCGCAAAACUGAAGGAGAAUGUUAUAUCCAGUUCACAGAAAUUAGGUCACCCAUUUCAUAAGCAAAUAUCAACUACACGUGUAAGUUUGUACGCAUUUUACAGGGACUUUCCCUUAACAGAAAAUUGGAAGAGAUUUAUCACAAAUUCUGCAUUCUAGAAUAAAUAUAAAUGCAGGAGGAAGGAAGUUCGUAUU
rnacentral:lncRNA from 1 species